rnacentral:misc_RNA from 1 species
GAUGAAGAACGUAGUGAAAUGCGAUAAGUAAUGUGAAUUGCAGAAUUCAGUGAAUCAUCGAAUCUUUGAACGCACAUUGCGCCCGCCAGUAUUCUGGCGGGCAUGCCUGUUCGAGCGUCAUUACAACCCUCAGGCCCCCGGGCCUGGCGUUGGGGAUCGGCGGAAGCCCCCUGCGGGCACAACGCCGUCCCCCAAAUACAGUGGCGGUCCCGCCGCAGCUUCCAUUGCGUAGUAGCUAACACCUCGCAACUGGAGAGCGGCGCGGCCACGCCGUAAAACACCCAACUUCUGAAUGUUGACCUCGAAUCAGGUAGGAAUACCCGCUGAACUUAAGCAUAUCAAUAAGCGGAAGA